UGGGGAAUAUUGCACAAUGGGCGAAAGCCUGAUGCAGCAACGCCGCGUGAGUGAUGAAGGUCUUCGGAUUGUAAAGCUCUGUCUUUUGGGACGAUAAUGACGGUACCAAAGGAGGAAGCCACGGCUAACUACGUGCCAGCAGCCGCGGUAAUACGUAGGUGGCGAGCGUUGUCCGGAUUUACUGGGCGUAAAGGGUGCGUAGGCGGAUGUUUAAGUGAGAUGUGAAAUACCCGGGCUUAACUUGGGUGCUGCAUUUCAAACUGGAUAUCUAGAGUGCAGGAGAGGAGAAUGGAAUUCCUAGUGUAGCGGUGAAAUGCGUAGAGAUUAGGAAGAACACCAGUGGCGAAGGCGAUUCUCUGGACUGUAACUGACGCUGAGGCACGAAAGCGUGGGUAGCAAACAGGAUUAGAUACCCUGGUAGUCCACGCCGUAAAACGAUGAGUACUAGGUGUAGGAGGUAUCGACCCCUUC
rnacentral:rRNA from 1 species